rnacentral:rRNA from 1 species
UGGGGAAUAUUGCACAAUGGGCGCAAGCCUGAUGCAGCCAUGCCGCGUGUGUGAAGAAGGCCUUCGGGUUGUAAAGCACUUUCAGCGAGGAGGAAGGUGGUGAACUUAAUACGUUCAUCAAUUGACGUUACUCGCAGAAGAAGCACCGGCUAACUCCGUGCCAGCAGCCGCGGUAAUACGGAGGGUGCAAGCGUUAAUCGGAAUUACUGGGCGUAAAGCGCACGCAGGCGGUUUGUUAAGUCAGAUGUGAAAUCCCCGGGCUCAACCUGGGAACUGCAUUUGAAACUGGCAAGCUAGAGUCUCGUAGAGGGGGGCUAGAAUUCCAGGUGUAGCGGUGAAAUGCGUAGAGAUCUGGAGGAAUACCGGUGGCG